rnacentral:lncRNA from 1 species
UCUUAAAUAAUCAAACAUAAAUUUAUCCAGUUUAUUCUAAAUGAAUAGAAAAGACACAACUAAUAAUAAAAUAAUAUGAAUCUUAUAUACUAUCAUUAAACCCGAAAAACUACAUAUGAUAUUUAUAUUAGGUUCGAAGAUAAUAAAUAUAAAAUUAUUUGAUUACAUAUUUUAUAUUUUUAUUGUGAUGUUUGGUUUUAUGUUUAAAUACGAAAAAUAUAUUAAUUGAUAUCAAUUAAUGAUUUUCAUGACCAAAUAAUGAUUUGUUUAUGGUUUAUAAAUUAUAUUUCCGUGACCAAUUUAGAGCAAAACUAAACAUCAACUUGAUUGAACUGAACAAACACAAAUAAAACCGAACCAAACUGAACUCAAUCCGAACCGAACCAAACCGAACCAGACUAAACUAAUUUCAGUUUACUUCAGUCAUAGUAUUUUUAAACCAAACCCAAAGAACACAAAUUUAAAAUGCUCACCCCUAGGAUAUUAACGGUAACUAAUAAUUAUCGUGUUACAAACGCCACCAGCAUAAUUUUAACAGCCAAAAAGUAUGUUGGGUAUAAAAUCUAGUAACGUCUCACUCCCUGUCAA